rnacentral:rRNA from 1 species
GACGAACGCUGGCGGCGUGCUUAACACAUGCCAGUCGAACGGAAAGGCCCUGCUUUUGUAGGGUGCUCGAGUGGCGAACGGGUGAGUAACACGUGAGUAACCUGCCCUUGACUUUGGGAUAACUUCAGGAAACUGGGGCUAAUACCGGAUAGGAGCUCCUGCUGCAUGGUGGGGGUUGGAAAGUUUCGGCGGUUGGGGAUGGACUCGCGGCUUAUCAGCUUGUUGGUGGGGUAGUGGCUUACCAAGGCUUUGACGGGUAGCCGGCCUGAGAGGGUGACCGGCCACAUUGGGACUGAGAUACGGCCCAGACUCCUACGGGAGGCAGCAGUGGGGAAUAUUGCACAAUGGGCGGAAGCCUGAUGCAGCAACGCCGCGUGCGGGAUGACGGCCUUCGGGUUGUAAACCGCUUUCGCCUGUGACGAAGCGUGAGUGACGGUAAUGGGUAAAGAAGCACCGGCUAACUACGUG